rnacentral:rRNA from 1 species
CCUACGGGUAGCAGCAGUGGGGAAUAUUGCACAAUGGGGGAAACCCUGAUGCAGCAACGCCGCGUGGGUGAAGGAGCGUUUCGGCGCGUAAAGCCCUGUCAGCGGGGAAGAAGUAAGACGGUAUCCGACCAAGAAGCCCCGGCUAACUACGUGCCAGCAGCCGCGGUAAUCCGUAGGGUGCGAGCGUUAUCCGGAAUUACUGGGUGUAAAGGGAGCGUAGACGGCGUGGUAAGCCUGAAGUGGAAGCCCGGGGCCCAACCGCGGAACUGCUUUGGGGACUGUUUUGCUGGAGUAUGGGAGGGGUAAGCAGAAUUCCUGGUGUAGCGGUGAUAUGCGUAGAUAUCAGGAGGAACACCGGUGGCGAAGGCGGCUUACUGGACCAUAACUGACGUUGAGGCGCGAAAGCGUGGGGAGCGAACAGGAUUAGAUACCCGGGUAGUC